UACGUAGGGUGCGAGCGUUAAUCGGAAUUACUGGGCGUAAAGCGUGCGCAGGCGGUUUUGCAAGACCGAUGUGAAAUCCCCGGGCUUAACCUGGGAAUGGCAUUGGUGACUGCACGGCUAGAGUGUGUCAGAGGGGGGUAGAAUUCCACGUGUAGCAGUGAAAUGCGUAGAGAUGUGGAGGAAUACCGAUGGCGAAGGCAGCCCCCUGGGAUAACACUGACGCUCAUGCAUGAAAGCGUGGGGAGCAAACAGG
rnacentral:rRNA from 1 species